CAGGAAGUCCCACCCCUAUCUAGGAGCCACUGCCAACAGAUAUUCUAUCUCCCUCCCCUCCGUGAAAGAAUGCCUCCAUAGAGCUUCUUCUGUUUGUCCCUUACACGUCUGCAGAGCAACAUAUGAUAUAAAGACACAGUACGUCCCUGAUCUCAAGGAAAUCCAUGGUACCGAGACAAGCCUGGUGGGCAAACCUGAGAUAAAUGUUAGCAUUGCUUUAGACUGACCUCAUCCUGGAAUUCUUUUAUGCAUUGAGGCUAAAAUCCAGUUUUACCCUGGUGGCGGUACCUGAAAGACUGAGGAACUUCAUCAGGCUGCUGGGAGAGACAGCAGGGGAUAGUGCCACCACAUCUGCCACCACGAUGAUGCCACCACAGAUGCCCUUUGCGCCAUCCUCAUCCACGCCGUGCUCUCCUCCACAGCUCGCCUUCACAAGCUCUACACUAGCCAGGGCUAGUCCAAACACGACUGAACAGGUUUGUAAUGGGCACCACUUGGCCACGUUUAUCCGGAGAGGAUCGAGACAGUUUGUCUCAUUUCGAAACACUUCAGUGAGGAGCUCAUUUUCUGUGUGAUCCGAGACCUCAGGAACAAAUACAGUUUACUUCUCA
rnacentral:sRNA from 1 species